AACGAACGCUGACGGCAUGCCUAACACAUGCAAGUCGAACGAGACCUUCGGGUCUAGUGGCGCACGGGUGCGUAACGCGUGGGAACCUGCCCUUAGGUUCGGAAUAACUCCCCGAAAGGGGUGCUAAUACCGGAUAAUGUCAUCGGACCAAAGAUUUAUCGCCUUUGGAUGGGCCCGCGUUGGAUUAGCUAGUUGGUAGGGUAAAAGCCUACCAAGGCGACGAUCCAUAGCUGGUCUGAGAGGAUGAUCAGCCACACUGGGACUGAGACACGGCCCAGACUCCUACGGGAGGCAGCAGUGGGGAAUAUUGGACAAUGGGCGAAAGCCUGAUCCAGCAAUGCCGCGUGAGUGAUGAAGGCCUUAGGGUUGUAAAGCUCUUUUACCCGGGAUGAUAAUGACAGUACCGGGAGAAUAAGCUCCGGCUAACUCCGUG
rnacentral:rRNA from 1 species